rnacentral:tRNA from 1 species
ACUUAGGUAGUUUAAUGUAGAAUAAUAAUUUGUGGUGUUAUUGGUGCGUGUUGGCUCUAAGUU